GUCUUUUUAAUAGUAUGAAUUUGUGAUUAGUUAAACGGAUUAGGGUUGUUGAGUUUCUGUUCGCAAAUUAGGGUUCUUCGAUUUCCAAUUUAUUGGAAUAUCAUUGCCGUUACUAGAAUUUGGAUCAAAGGAGAAGUUCAAGUUCCCCACUUUUCUGGUUUUCUCAUUGAUGUUGCUGUUUUUGAUUCAGACUUGAUAACUAACGAUGGUUUCUUCUAGUUCUCUAUUUGCAGAUUAGUUUGAAUAACGAUGAAGAAGAAGACUCCGACUGCUUAGGUUUUGUUUCUAUCAUCAACACCACAAUCCAUAAGUGUAGACUGUGAUAUUUCUAUCAUUAACACCACAAUCCAUAAGUGUAGACUGUGAUAUUUCUAUCAUCAACACCACAAUUGUUUGCUGUUGUUUCUCUAUAUGGAUUAGAUGGAAGAUGAUAUAUGCAAGGCUCUCUUUCUUCCCAUUAUUGUCGACGAUGAUGAUGCCUUUUUCUAGUCUUCAUCACUUUAGAACAGACUGAUCAUAGCUUAAUGAAUCUGUUUUGUUAAUCUACCUGGAACUUAUUAUCUUUUCUUUCUCUUGCAGGACUUUCAUCUUUAAACAUUGGCAAGGGAGGGCUUAGUAACCAGCCAGCAUACAGAGAGACAUCUGCAAUUGCUUUAACAAAAGAAGUGUCUGACUAAGCAGUUCAAAGAGAUAUGGUUUGAACUUUAAAGUAUGAAUGCAGUUUCAUAAUAAAAACUUGGCCGAUGAGAAUGCUCACGGUAACAACAUCAGAGUGAUUCUAGUGAUUGAUGGUCUUUGACUCAAUACAAUACGUCUUCCUUGUCCACUUCGAAUUCCCCAUCCAUAACUUCGCUAGAUGGAGAUAUUAUAUGGUUCCCUUUCCUCCGAUGGAAAAUUCUCUCUUCUUGCUCCCCAACCUAUUUGGAAGCUGUCCAAAAUUGUGGACACCACUAUCAUCAACAGACUUAAAAGGCGUUAAGAUCAGAGAUGGUUUGAAGAAUGAUGAAGACAACCCAGACGCUUAAGUUUUUGUAUCUAUCAUCAACACAGUUCAUAAGUGAAGUCUAAGAUUUUGGUUUUGUUUGUUGUUGUUUCUCUAUGUGGAUUUGAUGAAACAUGAUAUAUGCAAUAAUUUCAUAUUGUACUUUAAUUUAUUUAUUUUCAAAAAAAAAAAUCAAAUUUAGAGACUCAA